rnacentral:rRNA from 1 species
ACUUGCUUUCUUUGCUGGCGACCGGCGCACGGGUGAGUAACACGUAUCCAACCUACCCUUUACUCGGGGAUAGCCUUUCGAAAGAAAGAUUAAUACCCGAUGGCAUAGUUCUUCCGCAUGGUAGAACUAUUAAAGGAUUUCGGUCAUCGAUGGGGAUGCGUUCCAUUAGGUUGUUGGCGGGGUAACGGCCCACCAAGCCUUCGAUGGAUAGGGGUUCUGAGAGGAAGGUCCCCCACAUUGGAACUGAGACACGGUCCAAACUCCUACGGGAGGCAGCAUG